GAUGAACGCUGGCGGCGUGCCUAAUACAUGCAAGUCGAGCGAACAGACGAGGAGCUUGCUCCUCUGACGUUAGCGGCGGACGGGUGAGUAACACGUGGAUAACCUACCUAUAAGACUGGGAUAACUUCGGGAAACCGGAGCUAAUACCGGAUAAUAUAUUGAACCGCAUGGUUCAAUAGUGAAAGACGGUUUUGCUGUCACUUAUAGAUGGAUCCGCGCCGCAUUAGCUAGUUGGUAAGGUAACGGCUUAUCAAGGCAACGAUGCGUAGCCGACCUGAGAGGGUGAUCGGCCACACUGGAACUGAGACACGGUCCAGACUCCUACGGGAGGCAGCAGUAGGGAAUCUGCCGCAAAGGGCGAAAGCCUGACGGAGCAACGCCGCGUGAGUGAUGAAGGUCUUCGGAUCGUAAAACUCUGUUAUUAGGGAAGAACAAAUGUGUAAGUAGCUAUGCACGUCUUGACGGUACCUAGUCAGAAAGCCACGGCUAACUACGUG
rnacentral:rRNA from 1 species